AAAUAGAGUAACGAUCAAUUAUAACGGUAUAUUUUGGUUUGUCACAUAUUUUUGGUUCAGCGAAGUGAAAUAGAAAAUUGCUUAUUCAUUUCAUUGUGGUUUUCAAUCGGAGAACAUUUAAAAGUGAGUUUGUGAAUUAAAUAAAAAUAAAAGAAAUACAUACUUCAAACAAAAUAAAAAACAGUGAAAAGCUUAAAACGGAGUAUUUGCUUUCCGGAAAACUAAAAGAGAUUAAUCUUCUUCAAGAUCUAAAAGAAACGGUGAUUGAUCAAAGAGAAACACUAGCUCAUACUAAAGUUUCAAAAUGUCUGAAACAAACUCGGAGACUUUGAGCUGUGGGGAAGAAGAUGCCUUGAAAAACUUACUUAUAUCAUGGGGUAUAGAAGACAAAUUGGACAUACUCAUACGUGAACAUAUUUCUAUUGAUAUUUUGAAAAUACUAACUGAGGAACAUGUUAAAGAGCUGACACAGAAUUGGAGAAUUGGAGACAAGGCCCAGUUCAUUCACCAUUUCACAAAGUGGAGACAUGAUAUUAACCAUCCAUUUUGGGCAGAAUGUUCAAGUCCUCUAGUUUUUCCCAAAAAAGCCGAUUCGUGUAAUUCAUCUGAUACGGAAGAAGUCGAUAACGUCAAUAUGUUGGAGAUAUUGCAAAGUA